CAACCCUCAAGCCUGGCUUGGUGAUGGGGCACUGCCUGUAAAAGGGCAGGCCCUGAAAUUCAGUGGCGAGCUCGCCAGGACCCCGAGCGCAGUAGUUAAACCCUCGCUCUGGAAGGCCCUGGCGGUGCCCUGCCGUUAAACCCCCAACUCUUGAAA
rnacentral:misc_RNA from 1 species